CUCGCUGGAGAGAAAUUCUCUCCACAAGUGAUCUGAUUGAUCUCUCCAAAACUUCCCUUAAUCCCUUUAAUAACGGCCAAAAUCUCAUUUUUCACAUCCUCGCCCAAAUUUUCCUUCAAUUUCAGAAAGGUCACUCUUAUCGCAGAACCCGGAGCUGGAACUAUUGGCCCCUGGAGAUCAUCGGCAACCCAAUCGACGGCCAUCACGUCAUCACAGAUGGGGAGAACAGACUCUUUAACGGCGGUGACGUGGCUAGGGUGAGCAGAGUAGGCGUUAAGGUUAUCUUUUGAGGAAUAGCGGCUGUGAAGCAUGUG
rnacentral:misc_RNA from 1 species